rnacentral:rRNA from 1 species
UAACACGUGGAUAACCUACAUAUAAGACUGGGAUAACUUCGGGAAACCGGAGCUAACACCGGAUAAUAUUUUGAACCGCAUGGUUCAAAAGUGAAAGACGGUCUUGCUGUCACUUAUAGAUGGAUCCGCGCUGCAUUAGCUAGUUGGUAAGGUAACGGCUUACCAAGGCAACGAUGCAUAGCCGACCUGAGAGGGUGAUCGGCCACACUGGAACUGAGACACGGUCCAG